ACCCGUCUGGGCCCGGAGCUUUAUGUUUGGGCAGUUUGCGAAUUGCGUUUUGUAUUUCUUCCUCUGUGAAUUUGGCUGAUAAGGUUGCGCAUUGACGUGCCGAUAAGUGCGGCAGCUCUGCUCCCGUCAAAAAGGUGGCUAUGUCUGGGUCUAAUGGUUGGUGUAAAGUACUGUCCUGUGCGAGGUUAUAAAGUCCUUUGUAGAAAUUGGCCAAUUCGUCUACUAUAUCUUGUGGGUUAAACAAUUUUGAUCCAGUAGACGAAGUCAUGUAUGGUAGUUUAGAUUGUAUGUAUC